CCUACGGGGGGCAGCAGUGAGGAAUAUUGGUCAAUGGUCGGAAGACUGAACCAGCCAAGCCGCGUGAGGGAGGAAGGUACAGAGUAUCGUAAACCUCUUUUGUCAGGGAACAAAGGCGGGGACGUGUCCCCGGAUGCGUGUACCUGAAGAAAAAGCAUCGGCUAACUCCGUGCCAGCAGCCGCGGUAAUACGGAGGAUUCGAGCGUUAUCCGGAUUUAUUGGGUUUAAAGGGUGCGCAGGGGGGUUGUUAAGUCAGUGGUGAAAGGCUGGGGCUCAACCCCAGGCCCGCAGUUGAAACUGGCAGUCUCGAGUAGGAGAGAAGUAGGCGGAAUGCGCGGUGUAGCGGUGAAAUGCAUAGAUAUCGCGAAGAACUCCGAUUGCGAAGGCAGCAUGCCGGCUCCACACUGACGCUGAGGCACGAAAGCGUGGGUAUCGAACAGGAUUAGAUACCCGUGUAGUC
rnacentral:rRNA from 1 species